rnacentral:rRNA from 1 species
CGUAAUACAGGGCAAGCGGCCGCGGUAAAACGUGGGAGGGAAGCGUGAGCGGGAUUUACGAGGCAGAAAGGGAACGCAGGCGGUUAUGUAAGUCGGCAGUGAAAGGUCCUAGCUCAACUGGGAGGGGUCGUUCGGAACUGCAUAGCUUGAGGUUGGAAGAGGAGAGCGGAACUCCCGGUGUAGUGGUGGAAUGCGUAGAUAUCGGGAAGAACACCAGUGGCGAAGGCGGCUCUCUGGUCCAAAUCUGACGCUCAUGUGCGAAAGCGUGGGUAGCGAACGGGAUUAGAUACCCGGGUAGUC